rnacentral:rRNA from 1 species
GACGAACGCUGGCGGCGUGCUUAACACAUGCAAGUCGAACGGUAAGGCCUUCGGGUACACGAGUGGCGAACGGGUGAGUAACACGUGGGUGAUCUGCCCCCUACUCUGGGAUAAGCCUGGGAAACUGGGUCUAAUACCGGAUAUGACCAACGUCUGCAUGGUUGUUGGUGGAAAGUUUUUUCGGUAGGGGAUGAGCCCGCGGCCUAUCAGCUUGUUGGUGGGGUAAUGGCCUACCAAGGCGACGACGGGUAGCCGGCCUGAGAGGGCGACCGGCCACACUGGGACUGAGACACGGCCCAGACUCCUACGGGAGGCAGCAGUGGGGAAUAUUGCACAAUGGGCGAAAGCCUGAUGCAGCGACGCCGCGUGGGGGAUGACGGCCUUCGGGUUGUAAACCCCUUUCAGUCGGGACGAAGCGAGAGUGACGGUACCGAUAGAAGAAGCACCGGCCAACUACGUGCCAGCAGCCGCGGUAACAC